AGUAAUUUUGUCUGAGACUUUUCUAUACCUAUUGUAAAAGGUGCUGACUGAUUCUUUGUUGCAGGCAUUGAAUGUAAUCCCUUUAAGAAAACCACCUGAGCUAGCAGAAAACCGCAGAGCAGUCCCAGCACAUCCAGAAGCUGUACAGGCCUGUUGAUAUAUCUGUUCUGGGGACGUUAUCUCAUACACACUGCCCAGCUGGGAAGCAUUUGGAAAAAUUUUAUGGACCAAGUCAGCAUUAAAUGGCUGUGCCAGGAGCUGAAUUGCUGUAAAGUAACUUGUACUGAAUUUCAAAAAGAGGCUGAGAUAUACCAGGAAACCACCUUUCUGCAUUGACAGGAUUUUAAUCUCCAAGACCAGGAGGCUAGCACUGAAGUUAUUGAGUGCCUGGGUAUUACCUGUCUGUUGUAAACGACACCAGAGGAGUCACCACAGUGUCAACAUUCAUCUCACGCCUUGGAGAAAAGGAAUGACUGCAGGCCAUAGCCGAGCAACACAUUACAAGAAACUCUGCAGCACUGAUCUGAUGUGGUUGCUGUAGUCCAGUAAUACAUCUGGUGACGGAGGAAAGGAAAUACUGCCAUG